rnacentral:rRNA from 1 species
GAUGAACGCUGGCGGCGUGCUUAACACAUGCAAGUCGAACGAAGCACCUUAUUUGAUUUUCUUCGGAACUGAAGAUUUGGUGAUUGAGUGGCGGACGGGUGAGUAACGCGUGGGUAACCUGCCCUGUACAGGGGGAUAACAGUCAGAAAUGACUGCUAAUACCGCAUAAGACCACAGCACCGCAUGGUGCAGGGGUAAAAACUCCGGCGGUACAGGAUGGACCCGCGUCUGAUUAGCUGGUUGGUGAGGUAACGGCUCACCAAGGCGACGAUCAGUAGCCGGCUUGGGAGAGUGAACGGCCACAUUGGAACUGGGACACGGCCCAAACUCCUACGGGAGGCAGCAGUGGGGAAUAUUGCAAAAUGGGGGAAACCCUGAUGCAGCGACGCCGCGUGAGUGAAGAAGUAUUUCGGUAUGUAAAGCUCUAUCAGCAGGGAAGAAAAUGACGGUACCUGACUAAGAAGCCCCGGCUAACUACGUG